CCGCGGCGAUGGUUGUUCCGCGGGUAAGGGUGUAGGGCGAGGUGUAGGCAAAUCCGCACCUCAUGUGCCUGAGACCUGACACGGACCCGUAAGGGGAAGUCGGUGAUCCUAUGCUGCCAAGAAAAUCUUCUAGCGAGGUUCUAGCCGCCCGUACCCCAAACCGACUCAGGUGGUUAGGUAGAGAAUACCAAGGCGAUCGAGUGAAUCGUGGUUAAGGAAUUCGGCAAAAUACCCCCGUAACUUCGGGAGAAGGGGGGCCCAGAGGGUGACGGGACUUGCUCCCCGAGCCUGAACGGCCGCAGAGACCAGGGAGAAGCGACUGUUUACUAAAAACACAGGUCCGUGCCAAGUCGCAAGACGAUGUAUACGGACUGACGCCUGCCCGGUGCUGGAACGUUAAGGGGACCGGUUAGCCUCACGGCGAAGCUGAGAACUUAAGCGCCAGUAAACGGCGGUGGUAACUAUAACCAUCCUAAGGUAGCGAAAUUCCUUGUCGGGUAAGUUCCGACCUGCACGAAUGGCGUAACGACUUCUCCACUGUCUCAACCACGAACUCGGCGAAAUUGCACUACGAGUAAAGAUGCUCGUUACGCGCAGAAGGACGGAAAGACCCCGGGACCUUUACUACAGCUUGGUAUUGGUGUUCGGUACGGCUUGUGUAGGAUAGGUGGGAGACUGUGAAGCUGACACGCCAGUGUCGGUGGAGUCAACGUUGAAAUACCACUCUGGUCGUUCUGGAUAUCUAACCUAGGUCCGUAAUCCGGAUCAGGGACAGUGCCUGGUUGGUAGUUUAACUGUGGCGGUUGCCUCCUAAAAGGUAACGGAGGCGCCCAAAGGUUCCCUCAGCCUGGUUGGCAAUCAGGUUUCGAGUGUAAGUGCACAAGGGAGCUUGACUGUGAGACUGACAAGUCGAACAGGGACGAAAGUCGGGACUUGAUCCGGCGGUGGCUUGUGGAAGCGCCGUCGCUCAACGGAUAAAAGGUACCCCGGGGAUAACAGGCUGAUCUUGCCCAAGAGUCCAUAUCGACGGCAUGGUUUGGCACCUCGAUGUCGGCUCGUCGCAUCCUGGGGCUGGAGUAGGUCCCAAGGGUUGGGCUGUUCGCCCAUUAAAGCGGUACGCGAGCUGGGUUUAGAACGUCGUAAGACAGUUCGGUCCCUAUCCUCUGCGCGCGCAGGAAACUUGAGAAGGGCUGUCCCUAGUACGAGAGGACCGGGAUGGACGAACCUCUGGUGUGUCAGUUGUUCUGCCAAGAGCACCGCUGAUUAGCUACGUUCGGGAGUGAUAACCGCUGAAAGCAUCUAAGCGGGAAGCAUGCUUCAAGAUGAGGUUUCCAUGGGGUUUACCCCGAGAGGCUCCCAGCUAGACUACUGGGUUGAUAGGCCGGAU
rnacentral:rRNA from 1 species